rnacentral:rRNA from 1 species
GGAAAGCGGACCACAGAGGGUGAUAGUCCCGUAUGCGACAGGAUCAGGUCCCCGUUGAGAGGCGUACCAGAGUAGCACGAGCCUCGUGGAAUCUCGUGUGAAGCCGGGCGGCCCACCGCCCAAGGCUAAAUAUUCCUCGAUGACCGAUAGUGAACAAGUAGGGCGAUUGAACGAUGAAAAGCACAGCUAUUAGCUGAGUUAAAAGUACCUGAAACCAUGCAUUUACAAGCGGUCGGAGCACUAUGCCCCGCAAGGGGAAUGUGUGACGGCGUACCUUUUGCAUAAUGGGCCGGCGAGUGUAUG